ACGGGUGAGUAACACGUGAGUAACCUGCCCUUGACUUUGGGAUAACUUCAGGAAACUGGGGCUAAUACCGGAUAGGAGCUCCUGCUGCAUGGUGGGGGUUGGAAAGUUUCGGCGGUUGGGGAUGGACUCGCGGCUUAUCAGCUUGUUGGUGGGGUAGUGGCUUACCAAGGCUUUGACGGGUAGCCGGCCUGAGAGGGUGACCGGCCACAUUGGGACUGAGAUACGGCCCAGACUCCUACGGGAGGCAGCAGUGGGGAAUAUUGCACAAUGGGCGGAAGCCUGAUGCAGCAACGCCGCGUGCGGGAUGACGGCCUUCGGGUUGUAAACCGCUUUCGCCUGUGACGAAGCGUGAGUGACGGUAAUGGGUAAAGAAGCACCGGCUAACUACGUGCCAGCAGCCGCGGUGAUACGUAGGGUGCGAGCGUUGUCCGGAUUUAUUGGGCGUAAAGGGCUCGUAGGUGGUUGAUCGCGUCGGAAGUGUAAUCUUGGGGCUCAACCCUGAGCGUGCUUUCGAUACGGGUUGACUUGAGGAAGGUAGGGGAGAAUGGAAUUCCUGGUGGAGCGGUGGAAUGCGCAGA
rnacentral:rRNA from 1 species